rnacentral:rRNA from 1 species
UUAACACAUGCAAGUCGAGGGGCAGCAUGGUCUUAGCUUGCUAAGACUGAUGGCGACCGGCGCACGGGUGAGUAACACGUAUCCAACCUGCCGUCUACUCUUGGACAGCCUUCUGAAAGGAAGAUUAAUACAAGAUGGCAUCAUGAGUCCGCAUGUUCACAUGAUUAAAGGUAUUCCGGUAGACGAUGGGGAUGCGUUCCAUUAGAUAGUAGGCGGGGUAACGGCCCACCUAGUCUUCGAUGGAUAGGGGUUCUGAGAGGAAGGUCCCCCACAUUGGAACUGAGACACGGUCCAAACUCCUACGGGAGGCAGCAGUGAGGAAUAUUGGUCAAUGGGCGAGAGCCUGAGCCAGCCAAGUAGCGUGAAGGAUGACUGCCCUAUGGGUUGUAAACUUCUUUUAUAAAGGAAUAAAGUCGGGUAUGCAUACCCGUUUGCAUGUACUUUAUGAAUAAGGAUCGGCUAACUUCGUGCCAGCAGCCGCGGUAAUACGGAGGAUCCGAGCGUUAUCCGGAUUUAUUGGGUUUAAGGGAGCGUAGAUGGAUGUUUAAGUCAGUUGUGAAAGUUUGCGGCUCAACCGUAAAAUUGCAGUUGAUACUGGAUAUCUUGAGUGCAGUUGAGGCAGGCGGAAUUCGUGGUGUAGCGGUGAAAUGCUUAGAUAUCACGAAGAACUCCGAUUGCGAAGGCAGCCUGCUAAGCUGCAACUGACAUUGAGGCUCGAAAGUGUGGGUAUCAAACAGGAUUAGAUACCCUGGUAGUCCACACGGUAAACGAUGAAUACUCGCUGUUUGCGAUAUACGGCAAGCGGCCAAGCGAAAGCGUUAAGUAUUCCACCUGGGGAGUACGCCGGCAACGGUGAAACUCAAAGGAAUUGACGGGGGCCCGCACAAGCGGAGGAACAUGUGGUUUAAUUCGAUGAUACGCGAGGAACCUUACCCGGGCUUAAAUUGCAGAUGAAUUACGGUGAAAGCCGUAAGCCGCAAGGCAUCUGUGAAGGUGCUGCAUGGUUGUCGUCAGCUCGUGCCGUGAGGUGUCGGCUUAAGUGCCAUAACGAGCGCAACCCUUGUUGUCAGUUACUAACAGGUUCCGCUGAGGACUCUGACAAGACUGCCAUCGUAAGAUGUGAGGAAGGUGGGGAUGACGUCAAAUCAGCACGGCCCUUACGUCCGGGGCUACACACGUGUUACAAUGGGGGGUACAGAGGGCCGCUACCACGCGAGUGGAUGCCAAUCCCCAAAACCUCUCUCAGUUCGGACUGGAGUCUGCAACCCGACUCCACGAAGCUGGAUUCGCUAGUAAUCGCGCAUCAGCCACGGCGCGGUGAAUACGUUCCCGGGCCUUGUACACACCGCCCGUCAAGCCAUGGGAGCCGGGGGUACCUGAAGUGCGUAACCGCGAGGAGCGCCCUAGGGUAAAACUGGUGACUGGGGCUAAGU